rnacentral:rRNA from 1 species
AACCUUUACACUGCACGACAGUGCGAUAGGGGGACUCCGAGUGUGAGGGCAUAUAGCCCUCGCUUUUCUGAACCGUAAGGUGGUUCAGGAACAAGGACUGGGCAAGACCGGUGCCAGCCGCCGCGGUAAUACCGGCAGUUCGAGUGAUGGCCGAUUUUAUUGGGCCUAAAGCGUUCGUAGCUGGCCGAUCAAGUCUGUCGGGAAAUCUGCUCGCCUAACGAGCAGGCGUCCGGCGGAAACUGAUCGGCUUGGGACCGGAAGACUCGAGGGGUACGUCCGGGGUAGGAGUGAAAUCCUGUAAUCCUGGACGGACCACCGAUGGCGAAAGCACCUCGAGAGCACGGAUCCGACAGUGAGGAACGAAAGCUGGGGUCUCGAACCGGAUUAGAUACCCGGGUAGUCCCAGCUGUCAACGAUGCCCGCUAGGUAUGGCGCAGGCUACGAGCCUGUGCUAUGCCGUAGCGAAGGCGCUAAGCGGGCCGCCUGGGAAGUACGUUCGCAAGAAUGAAACUUAA